rfam:Oryza sativa Japonica Group DNA, chromosome 3, cultivar: Nipponbare, complete sequence.
UUUAAGUGCAAUCAUGAGUUUCGCCCAACUUUAAUCAUCUGUUUUAUUUGAACUUUUUAUAAAUAGUAUUUUUAUUGUUAUGAGAUUAUAAAAUUUAAAUAAGACGGAUGAUUAAAGUUGGACACGAAAACUCAUGGCUACACUUACA